rnacentral:rRNA from 1 species
AACAGGAUUAGAUACCCUGGUAGUGCACGCUGUAAACGAUGUCGAUUUGGAGGUUGUGCCCUUGAGGCGUGGCUUCCGGAGCUAACGCGUUAAAUCGACCGCCUGGGGAGUACGGCCGCAAGGUUAAAACUCAAAUGAAUUGACGGGGGCCCGCACAAGCGGUGGAGCAUGUGGUUUAAUUCGAUGCAACGCGAAGAACCUUACCUACUCUUGACAUCCAGAGAACUUUCCAGAGAUGGAUCGGUGCCUUCGGGAACUCUGAGACAGGUGCUGCAUGGCUGUCGUCAGCUCGUGUUGUGAAAUGUUGGGUUAAGUCCCGCAACGAGCGCAACCCUUAUCCUUUGUUGCCAGCGGUUCGGCCGGGAACUCAAAGGAGACUGCCAGUGAUAAACUGGAGGAAGGUGGGGAUGACGUCAAGUCAUCAUGGCCCUUACGAGUAGGGCUACACACGUGCUACAAUGGCGUAUACAAAGAGAAGCGACCUCGCGAGAGCAAGCGGACCUCAUAAAGUACGUCGUAGUCCGGAUUGGAGUCUGCAACUCGACUCCAUGAAGUCGGAAUCGCUAGUAAUCGUAGAUCAGAAUGCUACGGUGAAUACGUUCCCGGGCCUUGUACACACCGCCCGUCACACCAUGGGAGUGGGUUGCAAAAGAAGUAGGUAGCUUAACCUUCGGGAGGGCGCUUACCACUUUGUGAUUCAUGACUGGGGUGAAGUCGUAACAAGGUAACCGUAGGGGAACCUGCGGCUGGAUCACCUCCUU